GGGCCCGUAGUAAAAUGGUAUUACGCGGCAUUCGCAUUGCCGAGGUAGGGGUUCGAUUCCCCUCGGGUCCA
rnacentral:tRNA from 1 species